rnacentral:lncRNA from 1 species
UUUCGUUCUUUUUCUCUUUUUAGACGAGUACUUUUUUUCCUUGUUAUGGCUUUUGCCACAGGAUUUUCCAUAACAACGUUUGAAUGAGGUUCGACCCUUAGUUUGUUUUUUUGUGCUCUCAAGAGUUCCUCUAAGUUUUUUUCCUUUUUUCCCGCCUCAAUAAAAUCGUUAUUUAAUAAUUAAUGAAAACAUUAAUUCCGCAAAUUCAUGAAUUAAUAUAGACUGCACCAUCAUAGCAAAAUUAUGUGUAUGAAGUACAUAUGUCAGUUUAGCUAUCGAAUGUUACCGUUAUUCAUUAAUGCAUCUCGAAUAAUUAAAUAACUCGAUCUAAAGAAUAUUAACAAGUUUCAAGCUUGUGAAUGUUUAAUAAAC